UUACCGAGUUUUCGGGCUUCGGCUCGACUCUCCCACCCUUUGUGAACGUACCUCUGUUGCUUUGGCGGCUCCGGCCGCCAAAGGACCUCCAAACUCCAGUCAGUAAACGCAGACGUCUGAUAAACAAGUUAAUAAACUAAAACUUUCAACAACGGAUCUCUUGGUUCUGGCAUCGAUGAAGAACGCAGCGAAAUGCGAUAAGUAAUGUGAAUUGCAGAAUUCAGUGAAUCAUCGAAUCUUUGAACGCACAUUGCGCCCCUUGGUAUUCCGGGGGGCAUGCCUGUUCGAGCGUCAUUACAACCCUCAAGCUCUGCUUGGAAUUGGGCACCGUCCUCACUGCGGACGCGCCUCAAAGACCUCGGCGGUGGCUGUUCAGCCCUCAAGCGUAGUAGAAUACACCUCGCUUUGGAGUGGUUGGCGUCGCCCGCCGGACGAACCUUCUGAACUUUUCUCAAGUUGACCUCGGAUCAGGUAGGAAUACCCG
rnacentral:rRNA from 1 species